rnacentral:SRP_RNA from 1 species
GCCAGACAUGGUGGUGCAUGCCUGUAAUCCCAGCUACUUGGGAGGCUGAGGCAGGAGAAUCGCUUGAACCCAGGAGGUGGAGGUUGCAGUGAGCCAAGAUGGUGCCACUGCACUCCAGCCUGGGCUACAGAGUGAGACUCUGUCUCAA